GAUGAAGAACGUAGUGAAAUGCGAUACGUAAUGUGAAUUGCAGAAUUCAGUGAAUCAUCGAAUCUUUGAACGCACAUUGCGCCCUCUGGUAUUCCGGGGGGCAUGCCUGUCCGAGCGUCAUUUGCAACCCUCAAGCCCGGCUUGUGUGAUGGGUGCCGUCCCCUACGGGACGCGCCCCGAAGGCAAUGGCGGCGUCGCGGUUAUCCGAUCAGCCAAAGUGUAUGGGGCUUUGUCACUCACUUUACGGCCCGGACCGGCGCCAGUCCGAAUCAAUCUUUUUUCUAAAGUUGACCUCGGAUCAGGUAGGGAUACCCGCUGAACUUAAGCAUAUCAAUAAGCGGAGGA
rnacentral:misc_RNA from 1 species